rnacentral:rRNA from 1 species
GACGAACGCUGGCGGCGUGCUUAACACAUGCAAGUCGAACGGAAAGACCCUGCUUUUGUGGGGUGCUCGAGUGGCGAACGGGUGAGUAACACGUGAGUGACCUGCCCUUGACUUUGGGAUAACUUCAGGAAACUGGGGCUAAUACCGGAUAGGAGCUCCUGCUGCAUGGUGGGGGUUGGAAAGUUUCGGCGGUUGGGGAUGGACUCGCGGCUUAUCAGCUUGUUGGUGGGGUAGUGGCUUACCAAGGCUUUGACGGGUAGCCGGCCUGAGAGGGUGACCGGCCACAUUGGGACUGAGAUACGGCCCAGACUCCUACGGGAGGCAGCAGUGGGGAAUAUUGCACAAUGGGCGGAAGCCUGAUGCAGCAACGCCGCGUGCGGGAUGACGGCCUUCGGGUUGUAAACCGCUUUCGCCUGUGACGAAGCGUGAGUGACGGUAAUGGGUAAAGAAGCACCGGCUAACUACGUG